CUCAAUGGUGAGCUGGAUGGGGGAGCCGCAAGGCUAGCCGGGUCGUGACUCCGGUUUUGCAGCCCUGUUCAGCUCACCACCAAC
rnacentral:antisense_RNA from 1 species